rnacentral:rRNA from 1 species
UACGUAGGGUCCGAGCGUUGUCCGGAAUUAUUGGGCGUAAAGGGCUCGUAGGCGGUUUGUCGCGUCGGGAGUGAAAACACGGGGCUUAACCCCGUGCCUGCUUCCGAUACGGGCAGACUAGAGGUAUGCAGGGGAGAACGGAAUUCCUGGUGUAGCGGUGAAAUGCGCAGAUAUCAGGAGGAACACCGGUGGCGAAGGCGGUUCUCUGGGCAUUACCUGACGCUGAGGAGCGAAAGUGUGGGAAGCGAACAGG